rnacentral:rRNA from 1 species
UACGUAGGUGGCAAGCGUUGUCCGGAUUUACUGGGCGUAAAGGGCGUGCAGGCGGUCUGUUAAGUUCAGGGUGAAAGCUCCCGGCUCAACUGGGGAGGGUCACGCGAUACUGAUCGACUCGAAGGCAGGAGAGGGUAGUGGAAUUCCCGGUGUAGUGGUGAAAUGCGUAGAUAUCAGGAGGAACACCGGUGGCGAAGGCGGGUCUCUGGGCCGAAACUGACGCUGAGGCACGAAAGCGUGGGGAGCAAACAGG